rnacentral:rRNA from 1 species
AUUGAACGCUGGCGGCAUGCCUUACACAUGCAAGUCGAACGGCAGCACGGGAGCAAUCCUGGUGGCGAGUGGCGAACGGGUGAGUAAUAUAUCGGAACGUGCCCAGUCGUGGGGGAUAACGCAGCGAAAGCUGUGCUAAUACCGCAUACGAUCUACGGAUGAAAGCGGGGGAUCGCAAGACCUCGCGCGAUUGGAGCGGCUGAUAUCAGAUUAGCUAGUUGGUGGGGUAAAGGCCCACCAAGGCGACGAUCUGUAGCUGGUCUGAGAGGACGACCGGCCACACUGGAACUGAGACACGGUCCAGACUCCUACGGGAGGCAGCAGUGGGGAAUUUUGGACAAUGGGCGCAAGCCUGAUCCAGCAAUGCCGCGUGCAGGAUGAAGGCCUUCGGGUUGUAAACUGCUUUUGUACGGAACGAAACGGCCCUUUCUAAUACAGGGGGCUAAUGACGGUACCGUAAGAAUAAGCACCGGCUAACUACGUGCCAGCCGCCGCAGUAAUAC